UACGAACCGUGCAAACGUUGUUCGGAAUCACUGGGCUUAAAGGGCGCGUAGGCGGGCGAGCAAGUCCGGGGUGAAAUCUUUCGGCUUAACCGGAAAAGUGCCUUGGAUACUGCUCGUCUGGAGGAAGGUAGGGGCAGGUGGAACUUCUGGUGGAGCGGUGAAAUGCGUUGAUAUCAGAAGGAACGCCGGUGGCGAAAGCGACCUGCUGGACCUUUUCUGACGCUGAGGCGCGAAAGCUAGGGGAGCAAACGGG
rnacentral:rRNA from 1 species